CACAAACAGUGCAAAGAAAUGAAAAGAAAGGAAAAAAUAAGAGGUGAAUCUUAAAUUCACAGAACAUCCACAAAAUGCAGCAAAAUAUAUUCUGAUGGGUCUCCAUAGUAAUAUCCCUGUUCUGUGCUUUCCUAUUAAAUAUUUUUCUUAAUAUUAUUUAAGUUUUAUGAAUAUCAUUUUUCUCCUUUUUUUUUUUUUUUCAAAUUGCUCAAACAGAAUAGGACAGUGGUUAUUUUAAUUUCACAGUACUGCAAUCACCCCUAAGAGUAAUCAUAAAGGGAGCCAGUAAAGACUUCAUGAGCUAGCCUCACCCCAGUAUAUAACUGUGAUUUCAGAUUUUGUCAAAGCACAGAAGGCAGUGACAGCUACUAAGUUGGGUAAGUUGACCUAAUAAAGGUAAGUUAACUCAAGCACAAGUGAACAUUACCUCAAAAACCACUCCAUACACCUAGAACAGUUUGAUAUCACAAGGGCUCAUAGUGUGGUAACAGCACAGCAACAUGGUUUAAAAGCAUUCCAGAAAUGUUCCUUAAAAAAACAACACAACACAGGAUGCCAAAACCAGCAUGCUCAACAUCUGUAAACAAGGAUCUUUGCUGUUGUUGCCAUCACCAAGAGGAAACCAUGAGAACCCCUGCUGAGAAAAAGAGAUUAUUUUUAUCUUUCUUUCUUUUUUUUGUUGUUCUUUCAUCCACCCUUCUGUUAUGCAUACCUGAAACUGAGAUGGUUGGUUCGUAUUUGGGUAUCAACUUCAGACAUCAGAUUGUUAAUACAGGUGGAUCAAAAUGAGCUGUAAUGGAAUUUGCCGAUGGUUCCAGCAUGGGUCUGUUCUGUUGGAUUCUAGUAUGUGACAUACAGUACCAUCUCUGAAAUUUUCCUCAGGGUCUUCUCAUGAUCUUCUUUGACCAGAACAUUUCCACGGAGUCUGCAGGCCACUUUCAUGCCUCUCCCCCAUCUGGAAACCAUAACAGUGGUUCACCUUAAGACGCUGUCUUCGACAAGUCUCUCUUAGAUUUUGUCAAAGCACAGAAGGCAGUGACAGCUACUAAGUUGGGUAAGUUGACCUAAUAAAGGUAAGUUAACUCAAGCACAAGUGAACAUUACCUCAAAAACCACUCCAUACACCUAGAACAGUUUGAUAUCACAAGGGCUCAUAGUGUGGUAACAGCACAGCAACAUGGUUUAAAAGCAUUCCAGAAAUGUUCCUUAAAAAAACAACACAACACAGGAUGCCAAAACCAGCAUGCUCAACAUCUGUAAACAAGGAUCUUUGCUGUUGUUGCCAUCACCAAGAGGAAACCAUGAGAACCCCUGCUGAGAAAAAGAGAUUAUUUUUAUCUUUCUUUCUUUUUUUUGUUGUUCUUUCAUCCACCCUUCUGUUAUGCAUACCUGAAACUGAGAUGGUUGGUUCGUAUUUGGGUAUCAACUUCAGACAUCAGAUUGUUAAUACAGGUGGAUCAAAAUGAGCUGUAAUGGAAUUUGCCGAUGGUUCCAGCAUGGGUCUGUUCUGUUGGAUUCUAGUAUGUGACAUACAGUACCAUCUCUGAAAUUUUCCUCAGGGUCUUCUCAUGAUCUUCUUUGACCAGAACAUUUCCACGGAGUCUGCAGGCCACUUUCAUGCCUCUCCCCCAUCUGGAAACCAUAACAGUGGUUCACCUUAAGACGCUGUCUUCGACAAGUCUCUCUUAGGUUCUCACACAGCUCAGUCUUGGCCUCUCCAUUAGGUCGCAGGCUGACCUUGGGGUUGAACUUGUUGGACAUGGUGGCGGCGGUGAC